UUCCCAACAAUUGCGUGACAGCUUGCCUUUUUUUUUAUCCGUUAGAGUGGGCGUCUUCAAAGCUAUUUGGGAAUACCAAUAGAAAUGUUCCGAAAAUAAUAAAACAACACAAAAAAACACAAACAUUUUAAGAGUGUCUGGACGUAAAAGUUUUGAGCAUGUACUGGGCGGUUUAAGAGGACGUUGCCUUAAUGUUUUUCACGUACAUGGCCGAAACGACUCGGCCAGUGAUCCUGAUCAAGAAAGAAUACUUUUUACUCAUUGAAAAAUUUCAUGUAUUCGAUGAAUAAAACGGUGUUUUGACAUACAAUAUAGGAUUAUCUUCGUGCCAAAUGCGGCACUUUUGGUUGUUGCCAAAGCCGUUCAACCAAAAGUGCGCUUCAUUGCUAAACAAAAUUCGCUAAUAAAAUUUGGGAAAAACGACAAUCUGAUUUUGGCCCAUUCGACGAAUCUACGCCUUGCUUAAUGAUCGUUUGGCUUUAAUUCCAUCCACGAGUUGAAUUUUUAAGCCCGCAAACCAAGAUUCUUCCGCAAAAGUCUUCCCGCUCAAAGAAGCUACAUAUGUUCAGUAAGAUCGAAUUGCGUACAUUUUCAAACUGGAAUCUUUUGCCCACCAUUUGCCCACCUGUUUGUUUUUUUUACAACGUCAGUUUUGAAGAUAUGAAAUUUCAUAAUUUUUUUAAGGGCAAACGAUAGAGUCUAUUUUUAAAGGAUGGGCAAACGUUAUUUAAUGAAAAUCUUAGUUUUGAGAUAUGGGUAAUUCUUGAAUGGGUUAUAUUUUUCAAACUAAAACUUUUUUCAAACAUCUAAAGGGUGAGCAAACGAUGUUAUUGCUAUUUAAAAAAAUAUAUAUAAAAGAAGUCAACUUUUUGACUUUCGGAAAUUUUUGAAAUUCCAUAUCUUUAAAACUGGACGUGGACAAUAAAACUAAUUGAUGGACAAACGUUUCCAGUUCUCAAAUUUUAAAAAUUUGAUUUUACUGAACCUAGCUCAUUGGAGCUGAACCAGUGCUACGCUCUACAGCUGCAAUACCUUCUUCUGUACCGCGUCUUUAGCGGUUAUCAAUAAGAGAAACGAUCCAUGGCUAAUCGAAUUAUCGGCUCGGAUGGACAACUUUGUCGACGAUAAAAUGGCACUAUGUCCAUUCGUGAUAGGUAAUUUGCACAGAACCAUUAUCGAAAAAACAUUGCACUUUUUGCCAUUGCACCUUGUGCAAGCCUGUUAAAUCGGUCGCCAUCUUGAAUAGUAAUGCCAACAUAAAUUUCUAUAACUCGGAAAAACACACCCUUUAGUAUUCUUUUUUGUAGAGUAAAAGGACUAGAAACCCUUAAAAGAGGUUAAAUUGCACGUUUUGUUUUUAGUUAUGCAUUUAUUUUCAAAAUUCAUAUUUAACUAAACAUAACAGUUUUGUAUAUUAGCAAUAGUUUUCGUGUUUUAAGUUAAGCCCCACCAACAGGUAUAAGUUAUCUCCUCGAAGUUUAUUUAUAAACAGUUUUCAAUAUAGUUUUUGCAAACAAUUAAGACUAAGUAACACAAAUGUCAGACGUAAACAUUUAUUGUAAUUUUUGGUAUAGCAUGUUAUAGUUGUAAGUAUGUAUAAGGUUAUGUAACAGUUAUUGUACAUUGUAUAACUUUUUAUGGGAAAUAUUUCUUCAGUUGAGUGUCUACUUAUGCCCAGAAUCCUAAGAUAGCUUGGAUCCUCCGCAAUUAACAUGGUAGCUUGCAUAAUUUUGCAUACUUUCUUCGCACUUUUGCAAAAUAUUCAGUUUAAGAUAACACGAAUAUUAUAUUUGAUUUAAUUCUGACAAAAAGUAUUACAUUAAAAAUAAUUUAAAUCGAAUUUCACUGUUUUUCUGUAUUCAAAACAUAACCGAUAAUGGCAGUUUAAAGAUUUGGAUCGACAAGUUUUGUAGAGUAGGAAGAACCUUUUACUUGGGCUGGGCUGAGAAGUCUGUGAGCAUUUUUUAUUGGCGGAUUGUUCAUACGAUUGUAACGUUGAUUUUGUGUGUGUGUAUGGGAUUACAAGACUUCAUAGUAACUUUCCUUCAACCAUUAAGGCUCCUGUGGUAAAUUGCUAUAAGAAAAGAUAAUACAUUUUUAAGAAGUCAAUCCGACUUGCUGACACUUUUAAUACUUUUUAAUACAAUUAAUAUUUUUCUAUUAUUAAACAUAGAACAUGGUCCUUUUCAAUACUUUUUAAUUAACCUAGAACGCCAAUUUGAAAAUGUAACUGUUAUUUUUUUCUCUAUUAUAUAUUAAAACAAUUAAAUAAUAAGCUUUUUUAUUACUGAAAUAUAUAUAUAUCUAUAUGUUGUUACUAUUACCAACUUUAUAUAAUAUAAUCAACAGAAAGAAAUAACAAUUUGCUGAAAGUAGAAAGGGGAAAAGAUAUUUUUGAUCUGAGUUGCAUAGUAAAGCUCGCAAGUCGACUCUGAUGUCCUUUCUUGGUUGCUGGUGGUGGUAAGUAUAUUGUUGUUUUAAACACAGCUGACUGUGCCUACCCUGUGAUUGAUUCGGUUCUGAAGCCCUUAAACAAUAUCAUUUUACCUCCAUAUAUAUGUAUAUGUAAAUGUAUAUACGGUCAGUAUAAAUAUGUAUGUAGAAUUAAUAUUUGUUUAUAUAUGUAGUACUAAACUAAGAUUUGAGCUUGUCCACAUACCAGUGCUUACUAAAUGACUAUUAUUGGUUGUUGGAUGUGGAUAACUGGGUGCAUAUGCUGGAUACAUUCUAUUUGUCUCAGACAUUGCUUUUAGCUAAACGCCUGAUUCUGUUUCAGAGUCAUGAGUCACGAGUCACCACCAGCUUCAACGUCUUUAAACGGGAUACUUAUUCUUGUGGACCAAAUUUUGAAGUUUGGUUGCAUGAAAAGUAAUUACAUAUUGCUAACGGGUAACAUCAUAUAACGCGUGCUUUAAAUUGUCUUAAAAUAGACAAAUAACACAUACUUAAAAUAUACUCUUGGUGUGUUUUGAGUUGUACUGUUGAAUGACUAUGAACUCUUGAAACAACAAACCUGCAAAACGUGGUAAGUUGUGCUACUGAUGGUGGUCUCAAUGAAAAGGUCUGGUUUUGAACAAAGAAUGCAGCGCAAUUUACCUGAACUGUUUAAUAUAUGUUCCAUUGUUAUUUAUAUGUGGUUAUUAUUUACAAUAAUAAAUUGACACGAUUAAUUGCCGUCGUAAUUAAAGUCUUUGCACUUUACUGCUAAUUUAUAUUUCGAACAGCUGGGACGUUUAAUGUAGUUUCGUUAAAUAGUCGAUUGCAAAUGAAGUUAAAUUAUAAAACUGUAUUAACAUUUGUUUAAAUUUCUUUAAUAAAAACAUUUCGUAAUAAAAUUUUAAAUAAAAUUCGUUGUUCUUGUUCCACAGGUCAUAGCUCUGCAUACCCGGUCUGUCUCCGAAUAUUCGUUCUCUUGGUUUAAUAUCAGGAGGUGAGUAAUUUCCACAAUCUUUUGAAAAUCCGAAAAUUAGAGUUUAUCAUUAAUCAACGUAUACGAAAGCGAUCUGGUUCAAAAGUAUAUACAUAAGCAUAACGCGACUAAAUUCGCAUAACUAUUUGAUUGUUGUGUGGGUCAUAUUGUGUUGUUAACUAAAACCUUUAUCUGCAUAUAGCUAAUUUAGCUUGUUCUAUGUUUUUAAUAAAAUACAUUUGUCUCCCUAUCUACAGUUGCUACUUGCUUUACAAUUACUUUUCCUUUCUUACAUAUUCAUGUGUAAUUCCCUUUAAAUUGAGAAAUUUUUUAAGAGUUCUGGAAUUUUAACAAUUUAUUUAUGCCGUUAAAAAUCAACAAUAUUAUAUAUGGCUAGUGGCCCUCUUUAUCUAAUUGUUUAAACACUUCGCGUGAAUUUCAAUAUAAAACAUUCAAUCAUCUUAUGCAAGUUUUACAAUGAUCACCGUAGAAAUUAAAAAAAAUGAGCCCACAAAGACCUUUUUUUGUUUUAAGGUUCACGAACAUUUUUUAAUGCGAUUUUAAAAUAGUUGCGAGGAUGUAAAAAAAUUUUUCAAUUGAGAAGAAAUUACACCAUUUUUGGUUAUUAUUUUCCUAUGUGUCCAUACAACGCGUAUUAAUAAAUAUAGUAUAAAUUUACAUUUAAAAUAUUUCUCUUUUGGUUUAUCAUUCCUUUGGUGCAAUGUAAAAAUCCAUGUAAAACGCGUUUUGAGUAUUAAAUUUUUCCUCUAAUUAACGUUAGGUAAAUAUUACUCCUAAUGAGUCGUUUCUCUGCGUUUUUUAGUGUUUUCAGUUUGUUUUAGCUUCGGCUUUGAACAACUCUACAUGUACGAAAAUGUAAAUAUGGUAUUCGAGACUUGGUGCUGGUAAUGAAAAUGUGGGUCCACUGCUGUCAUCGUCCGGAGCUUAGUAGUUGCCUGAAAUGAUUCUGACCGAUUAGAGCCAAUCAAGAUUGCACCUGUGGGGCAUACUAACUGGGGCACUCGGGGGGAUUCAUGUAGCCGAAGACAUUCAACUCGUAAAGCGACGCCAGCGUGAUAAAGAACAAAUACCAGACCAUGAGAAUGAUGCCCAGUCGCUUGUCCAGCUUCCAUCCGUUUAAGUGCGU